rnacentral:rRNA from 1 species
CGUGCCAGCAGCCGCGGUAAUACGUAGGGUGCAAGCGUUAAUCGGAAAUACUGGGCGUAAAGCGUGCGCAGGCGGUUAUGUAAGACAGUCGUGAAAUCCCCGGGCUCAACCUGGGAACUGCGAUUGUGACUGCAUAGCUAGAGUACGGUAGAGGGGGGUGGAAUUCCGCGUGUAGCAGUGAAAUGCGUAGAUAUGCGGAGGAACACCGAUGGCGAAGGCAGCCCCCUGGACCUGUACUGACGCUCAUGCACGAAAGCAUGGGGAGUAAACAGGAUUAGAUACCCUGGUAGUCC